rnacentral:rRNA from 1 species
AGGACGAACGCUGGCGGCGUGCCUAAUACAUGCAAGUCGAGCGGACAGAUGGGAGCUUGCUCCCUGAUGUUAGCGGCGGACGGGUGAGUAACACGUGGGUAACCUGCCUGUAAGACUGGGAUAACUCCGGGAAACCGGGGCUAAUACCGGAUGCUUGUUUGAACCGCAUGGUUCAGACAUAAAAGGUGGCUUCGGCUACCACUUACAGAUGGACCCGCGGCGCAUUAGCUAGUUGGUGAGGUAACGGCUCACCAAGGCGACGAUGCGUAGCCGACCUGAGAGGGUGAUCGGCCACACUGGGACUGAGACACGGCCCAGACUCCUACGGGAGGCAGCAGUAGGGAAUCUUCCGCAAUGGACGAAAGUCUGACGGAGCAACGCCGCGUGAGUGAUGAAGGUUUUCGGAUCGUAAAGCUCUGUUGUUAGGGAAGAACAAGUGCCGUUCAAAUAGG